rfam:Alligator mississippiensis ScZkoYb_1219, whole genome shotgun sequence.
CGCCAUAAACCCGUAGAUCCGAACUUGCGGUCGCUCCUCGUGCAAGCUCGACUCUGUGGGUCUGUGUCGG